GACGAACGCUGGCGGCGUGCUCAACACAUGCAAGUCGAACGGAAAGGCCCUGCUUUUGUGGGUUGCUCGAUUGGCGAACGGGUGAGUAACACGUGAGUAACCUGCCCUUGACUUUGGGAUAACUUCAGGAAACUGGGGCUAAUACCGGAUAGGAUCUCCUGCUGCAUGGUGGGGGUUGGAAAGUUUCGGCGGUUGGGGAUGGACUCGCGGCUUAUCAGCUUGUUGGUGGGGUAGUGGCUUACCAAGGCUUUGACGGGUAGCCGGCCUGAGAGGGGUACCGGCCACCAUGGGACUGCGAUACGGACCAGAAUCGUACGGGAGGCAGUAGUGGGGAAUAUUACACAAUGGGCGGAAGCCUGAUGCAGAAACGCCGCGUGCGGGAUGACGGCCUUCGGGUUGUAAACAGAUUUCGCCUGUGACGAAGCGUGAGUGACGGUAAUGGGUAAAGAAGCACCGGCUAACUACGUG
rnacentral:rRNA from 1 species